AGCAGCCGCGGUAAUUCCAGCUCCAAUAGCGUAUAUUAAAGUUGUUGCAGCUAAAAAGCUCGUAGUUGAAUUUCGGGAUCAAUAUAUCGGUCGUGUCCCUGUACGUACUGGUAUCAUUGAUUUCUCCUUUCUGACGAACAAUGAUGUCAUUAAUUUGGUGUUAUAGGGAGUUAGGACUGUUACUUUGAAAAAAUUAGAGUGUUUAAAGCAGGCAUUAGCUUGAAUACAUUAGCAUGGAAUAAUGAAAUAGGACGUUUGACCUUAUUUUGUUGGUUUCUAGGAUCGACGUAAUGAUUAAUAGGGAUAGUUGGGGCAUUAGUAUUCAAUUGUCAGAGGUGAAAUUCUUGGAUUUAUUGAAGACUAACUACUGCGAAAGCAUUUGCCAAGGAUGUUUUCAUUAAUCAAGAACGAAAGUUAGGGGAUCGAAGACGAUCAGAUACCGUCGUAGUCUUAACCAUAAACUAUGCCGACUAGGGAUUGGAUGAUGUUAAUUUUAUUAAUGACUUAUUC
rnacentral:rRNA from 1 species